rnacentral:lncRNA from 1 species
AUAUUCCUGGUGGCUGGACUUCAUUAACCUUGGCUGUGUUCAGCUAUGGAGGCCUCUGAUCGAGUCAAGAUAUUUUGCUGCCUAGUUGUUGCUGAUUUGAUUCAGGUUUUUAUUACUUUACAAAGGCAAUGCUUAUCCCUGUGGGUGAUAAGAAACCAACAAGGCCCAAGCUGCCAGCAUUGGUUUCCCCUGCCUCUAAACCAGCAUGCUCUAUUUGGGUGUUUAUUACGGGACUUUGGACUGCAGAUGGAAUUGCAAGUGCUCCCUGCUCAGGGAACUUGCCCUCAGAGGGAGAAUGCAGGCCUGCAUAAACCCCAGGAGAUCCAUUGAGGAGACACCUAAAGCAAGUCCAGUGAUGGUGUGACAGGAUGAUGCUGUGAUGCUCAUGAUCUAGGCACAGAGGUCACUCUGAGCUUCCAUUUGGACAGCUGCCUGUUCGUGGGAAGAUCACCAAGCUCUUAACCCAGGAAGGGAUGCUGUGCUGCAUAUUGGCGUUGUUGUGAGGUCAAGAGAGAUUUCAUCCCUGCUGUCCUUCCUCAGAUGGGUCAUUAUGUCUGGAUUCAGGAAGAGAAUAUGCAAAUGUUGAGUCUGUGCCUCUUAACAAACUCAUCCUGCAUGAAAAAUCAUUAUUUACUUCA